UACGUAGGGGGCAAGCGUUGUCCGGAAUCAUUGGGCGUAAAGAGCUCGUAGGCGGUUUGUCGCGUCUGCUGUGAAAAUCCAGGGCUUAACCCUGGACCUGCAGUGGGUACGGGCAGACUAGAGUGCGGUAGGGGAGAUCGGAAUUCCUGGUGUAGCGGUGAAAUGCGCAGAAUAUCAGGAGGAACACCGGUGGCGAAGGCGGAUCUCUGGGCCGUAAACUGACGCUGGAGGAGCGAAAGCAUGGGGAGCGAACAGGA
rnacentral:rRNA from 1 species